rnacentral:rRNA from 1 species
UUAUAUGGAGAGUUUGAUCCUGGCUCAGGACGAACGCUGGCGGCGUGCCUAAUACAUGCAAGUCGAGCGGACGGAUGGGAGCUUGCUCCCUGAAGUCAGCGGCGGACGGGUGAGUAACACGUGGGCAACCUGCCUGUAAGACUGGGAUAACUUCGGGAAACCGGAGCUAAUACCGGAUAAUGCAUAACCUCUCAUGAGGUUAUGCUGAAAGAUGGUUUCGGCUAUCACUUACAGAUGGGCCCGCGGCGCAUUAGCUAGUUGGUGAGGUAACGGCUCACCAAGGCAACGAUGCGUAGCCGACCUGAGAGGGUGAUCGGCCACACUGGGACUGAGACACGGCCCAGACUCCUACGGGAGGCAGCAGUAGGGAAUCUUCCGCAAUGGACGAAAGUCUGACGGAGCAACGCCGCGUGAGUGAUGAAGGUUUUCGGAUCGUAAAACUCUGUUGUCAGGG